rnacentral:rRNA from 1 species
AGCGAACGCUGGCGGCAGGCUUAACACAUGCAAGUCGAACGCCCCGCAAGGGGAGUGGCGGGCGGGUGAGUAACACGUGGGAACGUACCCUUUGGUUCGGAAUAACUUGGGGAAACUCAAGCUAAUACCGGAUAAGCCCUUAUGGGGAAAGGUUUACUGCCGAAGGAUCGGCCCGCGUCUGAUUAGCUAGUUGGUGAGGUAACGGCUCACCAAGGCGACGAUCAGUAGCUGGUCUGAGAGGAUGAUCAGCCACACUGGGACUGAGACACGGCCCAGACUCCUACGGGAGGCAGCAGUGGGGAAUAUUGGACAAUGGGGGCAACCCUGAUCCAGCCAUGCCGCGUGAGUGAUGAAGGCCUUAGGGUUGUAAAGCUCUUUUACCCGGGACGAUAAUGACUGUACCGGGAGAAUAAGCCCCGGCUAACUUCGUGCCAGCAGCCGCCGUAA